GAUGAACGCUGGCGGCAUGCCUAAUACAUGCAAGUCGAGCGGACGGAGGAGGAUUUUGCCCCUCUUCCGUUACGGACGGACGGGUGAUGAACAGGUGUAUAACCUGCCUAUAGGGAUGGGGUAACUUCGGGAACCCGAAUAUAGUACAGGAUAAGAUAUUGAACGGGAGGGUUCAUUAGUCAACACGGGUUUAGCUGUCCCUAGUAGGGGUUUCCUGGCCGGAUUAGCUAGUUGGUAAGGUAACGGCUUACCAAGGCAACGAUGCGUAGCCGACCUGAGAGGGUGAUCGGCCACACUGGAACUGAGACACGGUCCAGACUCCUACGGGAGGCAGCAGUAGGGAAUCUUCCGCAAUGGGCGAAAGCUUGACGGAGCCACGCCGCGUGAGUGAUGAAGGUCUUCGGACUGUAAAACUCUGUUAUUAGGGAAGAACAAAAGUGUAAGUAACUAUGCACGUCUUGACGUUACCUAAACAGAAAGCCACGGCUAACUACGUG
rnacentral:rRNA from 1 species